GACGAACGCUGGCGGCGUGCCUAAUACAUGCAAGUAGAACGCUGAAGGAGGAGCUUGCUUCUCUGGAUGAGUUGCGAACGGGUGAGUAACGCGUAGGUAACCUGCCUGGUAGCGGGGGAUAACUAUUGGAAACGAUAGCUAAUACCGCAUAAUAGCAGUUGUUGCAUGAUAACUGUUUGAAAGGUGCAAUUGCACCACUACCAGAUGGACCUGCGUUGUAUUAGCUAGUUGGUGGGGUAACGGCUCACCAAGGCGACGAUACAUAGCCGACCUGAGAGGGUGAUCGGCCACACUGGGACUGAGACACGGCCCAGACUCCUACGGGAGGCAGCAGUAGGGAAUCUUCGGCAAUGGACGGAAGUCUGACCGAGCAACGCCGCGUGAGUGAAGAAGGUUUUCGGAUCGUAAAGCUCUGUUGUAAGAGAAGAACGAGUGG
rnacentral:rRNA from 1 species